ensembl:lncRNA
GGUGCCUCCCGCGGCGCUCAUCCCCUCCAGCCCGGGUCCGUGUCCCCGAGGGUCUGCGUCUGAGACAGCGCUCGGCCCCUGUCCCCAGGGGGUCUCUGUCCCCAGGGGUCUCUGUCUCAAGCAGCCCUCGUCCCCUGCUGCCCCUGAGCAUCCUUGUCCCAGUAGGACGCCGUCCCCAAGGCUCUGUGUCUCAGACAGAACUCGUCCCCUGUCCCCGAGGUCCCCGUCCCCAGAGGUCUCUGUCUCGAGCAGCCCUCGUCACCUUCUGUCCCCGAAGAUCCUUGUCCCCAAAGGUCCCCAUCCCCACGAGGCUGUAUCUCAGACCGCUUGUCCCCUCUUACUGAGAAUCCUUGUCCCCAAAGGCCUCUGCCCCAGGGGUCUCUGUCUCAAGCAGCCCUUUUUCCAUGCUGUCCCCAAGGAUCCUUGUCACUGUGGGUCCCUGUCCCUGAGGGUCUGUAUCUCAAGCAGCCCUCAUGUCCUGUCCCCAAUAAUCCUUGUCCCCAAAGAUCCCUGUCUCUGAGAGUCCAUAUCUCAAACAGCCCUCACGUCCUGUCCCUGAGGGUCUGUAUCUCAAACAGCACUUGUGCUCUCUCCCUGAGGACCCUUGUCCCCAAGGUCCCUGUCCCCAAGGGUCUCUGUCUCGAGCAGCCCUCAUCCCCUGUUGCCAAGGAUUACUGUCCCCAAGGAUCCCCAUCUCUGAAGUCCCCAUUCCCAAGUUCCUUGCCCCAAGGAUCCUCGCCUCAAAGCAUCCCUGUCCCAAAGCAGCCCUGCCCUCAGAGAUCCCCAGCUCUGAGGUCCCUGCCUCCAAGGCUCUGUGUGUCAAACAGCCCUCGCACUCAACGUUCACUAUCCCCGAGGUCCCUGUCCCUGUAAUCCCCAUUCCUAAGUUCCUAGCCUCAAACCAUCCCUGUCCCAAUGGAUCACCAUCCCCAGGAGUCCUGUCCUCAACGACCCCCAUCCCUGAGGUCUCUGUCCCUCCCCAUCCACCUCACUCCCCUCCUCCCCACCCCAUUCACCCCUCUGUGCCCCCAGAGCCACACAAGUCCCUCUGGGGCCUAUCUCAGCCCCCAGCCCUGCACUGGGGACCCACACCCUCCAUGGGGUCCCUUCACCCCAUUUGCUCAGCAAACAGCACCACCUGUCCCACUCUUCCCAGCCUGUACUAGCCUGUGGAUAGAAAAAAAACAACAAAGAACAAAAAAACAGACAGGUAAUGAUUUUGAGUCAGUCCUUCAAAAUCCCAGUAUCCCAGCCAGCCCUUCCCAGUAUCCUCACUGACCCCUCCCAGUAACCCAUAUCCGAACCAACCCUUCCCAGUAAUCCUUCCAUAUCCCAUCCUAACCCACCCUUCCCCAGUAUCCCCUCAGUAUUCUGCCUGACCCUUCCCAAUAAUCUCCAGUACCACAGCCAGCCCCUUCCCAGUAUCCCAACUGACUCUUCCCAGUAUUGUCUUGGUAUCCCACCCAGUAUUCAUCUGUCCCAGUAUCCCCCCAAAUCCCCCCCAGUGCCCCCCCAGUAUCCUACCCAUCUCUUCCUAGUACCCCCGGUAUCCCAUCCAACCCCUACGAGUACCCCCAGCAUCCCAUACAUCUCCUCCCACUAUACCUUCAGUAUUUCACUCACCCCCUUCCUAUACCUUCCAGUAUCCCACCCAGCCCCUCUCAGUACCCCUAGUAUCCCAUUCGUCCCAUCCCAGUAUCCCACCCAGUCCGUCCCACUACUCCUCAUCCUAUCCAUCCCCUCCUGGUACCCCCAGCAUCCCAUUCUUCCCCUCCCAGUACUCCCAGCAUCCCAUUCAGCCCUCCCAGUACCUUCCAGUAUCCAAUCCAACUCCUCCCACUUUCCCCCAGGAUACCACCCAUCUCCUCCCAUACUCCCCAGUAUCCCACCCAUCCCCUCCCAGUACCCCCAGUAUCCCAUCUAACCCCUCCCAGUACCCCCAAUAUCCCACCCAUCCCCUCCCAGUACCCCAUCAACCCCUCCCAG